rnacentral:tRNA from 1 species
GGGUAUAUAGGUCAGUGGUAGAGUGCGUAUUUAUCAUGCAUGAGGUCCUGAGUUCAAUCCUCAGUGCCUCCA